GUCAAUUGCUUUAUUAACCAGAUAAAACAGUCUGGGUGAAUUAGCAAGAAUUUUCUCUGCACGCAGAGCUUCCUAGCCUUACUUUCUGAGUUCAGGUAGUUGUUUCUGACACCAGCUUUCCUGGUAUUUCUUGGCAGACGACAGGCCAGAAGGCACCGUUCUUGUGCGGUCUGUUGCUCGGUUCUCAGCCGAGAUAGAAUUUCAUGCUCCCGGCAUCGGGGCAGCUGCGAAACCACAAACCUCAGUUCAGUCCUGAGCAUGCGAAGGUCCGCAGUUGAUUGCAGGGAGGCGUUCGGCCAAGCGAGGACGGAAAUUUGUAUUCUCCCUUUAAAAUUGUGCUUCUGAAAGUAUUUACUAUGACUUAUCAAAAGCGGCUGGCAGUGUCAAGUGAAACCUUUUUCUUGCUUCCCCCUGCCCCCUAGAACUCCUAAGUGACCAGGAACAGACGAUUUUUAACCGAGUUCUGCUGCGUGGAGCCCAGGUUGGCGCUAGUGAGUGCAGUGUGCUGACCCAAGUGGUGGUGGCCCAAGGACGCGCUGACCCGUACAUUUGGCAAAGCUUUCAUUAAAUGUAUCAGAUUCUCGCGGAAGUGGUUGCAGUCCGGAGAGUGAAACAGCUAUCUCUCAAGUCCUGACCGGUUCAGCUGAAAUCUACAUUUGCACUGAAUCUGGCAAAACACGGACGGGUCCGCCCGAGAUCUCAGGAAACCCAGAGCAAGUUACCUCCAUGUAGUUGAUCAUUCUUUCUGAAAGGACGGACACCAUUUACCCCACUGCAAUCCUGUCCAACGGGCAGCUCUGAGUUUAGCUUUAGCGCCAAAGGAUUGAUUUCCCCCACCCGCUGGAGAUUUACUGGGGACGAGCGGGGGAGGGGAGGCGAAGGUACCUCGGAGGAGGUCAAGUGGGGGAGGAGGAGGAGCAGCAGAAAAUUACCAGCCAAGCAGGGGAGGGAGUUGGAAGCCCGGAAAUAUACCAGGAUGCCUCAAGUAACCUUCCUUUAAGUCUCAGAAUUCAGCCCUCGGAAAACAGCCUCAUAAGGUGUCCUGGGAAGGAGUCCUCGGGUGGGCUGCGGAGGUGAUGUCAAGAGUUACAGCUACUUUAUGAAUUAAACUGACGGCUAAGGCAUGUCGGGACAGUUUAGUGUAAGCUGAAUGGUGCGUGGACGGGGCAACUUUUAAAGAGAGGUGGGCAAUCAUUGGUGGCAUCUACCAGUAUAUUCUGCAUGUAACAGUAGUUUGGAAGCUGAAGAAAAACCCCUCAAAUCCCAGUAAAUGCCCGGUCAGUUCGAGAGAGAUUUUAGGGACAAUUUUGAAGGUCGCUGUCUGCUCCAACUCCGCAGAGAUGAACAAGAGUGUGAACUCUGGCGCGGGUGUGUUUAGAAUUAUCUACGACUUCAGAUCCAUGCUGUUGAAACUCAUCAAUUCUUUGUGACUUCACGUGGAGAGAAGAAUUUGCCCUGCCUCCCUACCUGCUAAAUGCCGACUGAGAAAAGGGGCCCAGGAGACGACCCCUUUCAGAAAGAACGUCACUUCAUCAACUCGGCUGAGUUAUUAACUUGCUCCCCGAAAGGUCAACAACGCCUUCUCUUCUCAGCCGCACCGCGCGGAGAUCAAUCGCUUUACCCUAGGUAGCCUCUUGUUCAGGGCUCAGGAACUCCUGUCUUAAGGUCCUUCUGGGGCUCAGAAGCUGUGUUGUGUAUGUUCUUUCCAAGAAUCCCACCUGUCUGCUUUCAAGCACACACGGCGCUAGAAAUUUAGCCUAGCCUGAGUCCUGGGAUGAGAGAAGAGCUAAACAAAGAGACCCCAACCGUCCCCUUGGCCCCCUGCCCCGCCGUUUUGCAGUUUGCCAACCUUCUAGCUAGACAGCCCCCUAAGUCUCCGUGUUGCGAGUGAAAGAGAAUUUUUCUAUUUCAUCUUCCCAUUGACCGAAGCAGAAAAAUUGAACCGAAUCUACGCCCCUUGUUCUGAUUCCUGCUAGAGGAAAACAGAAAAUCAUCCCGCAGGUCUCUUUCAGUCCCUGGAUGGCGAGCGCAGCCCCUGGGAGGCCACACUUAGUUCUUUAUUGUGAAUCUCUCGCUACUCAAGUUCGUUCGGGACCAGGGCCUCGGAUGGCCUCGGUUGCCCGUAAGUACGCGAAAGAAGAGGUGAAUCCAAUCGCUGGCCUAGAGGAUAGUGAUCAGACAACCCGAGGAUUACUAAACAAGGGGCGGCGGUGUCCCUGUCUCAUGGGGUUGGCGUGGGGCGGGGGGUAGGCAGCAAGAUCCUCCAGGCUCCUGGAUGCAAAGAGUGAGAAAGAAAGCGCAGCCUCUGGCAGCCUGCUUAUAAAUGCAGCCUUUCGGAAGAUGAAACUUGCAGUCUUAGGUUGUCCUCCUUUAUAUCCAUGUUCCAAUCCUCUGGGCUUUCCUCGAAAUGAAUAAAAUUGUGGAAAUGAAUGAAUGAGAAUAUCACUUUAAUUGUUUCAAACUCAUUGUCAAGUCACCUUUUCUGCCAUCUGCCAGAGGUUCAAUUUGCGCUUCGUGUCUACAUUCCAGAAAAUUGUAAGGACGUUUCCUCUGCAUCUGUCUGCCUUGUUGGCAGCGUGCGGAAACGAUAACUGCACAGUUAUUGGUACAGAAUAUUUUCAUGACUAGCUUAAUUCUAAAUAUCACCCCAAAAUACAGAUACCUUACUUCUUAGUUGGCAUUAUUCAAGUUUAUUCACUUUGUGCUGCAAAUGUUUGAAUUAGAAAACAGGAGAGAACUCCCGCAGCAGAGAUGCACUUCUCUGCUCUCCUGUCAGUCACAGAACCCACACUGGGUGAUUAGCCAGAGGGGCGGGCUCCUUUGUUGACUUAAGAGUUCACCAGGCAAGAUGGAACAAUUAUCUUGUUGCCUCUUCUUAACUGUCUAUUGUUGACUUACUUCUAGUAUGCUUCCAUUGUACAAAAUUCUAUCCAAAAUUGAAGAAUAAAUCGUAAGUUAAAAAGGUAAUAAUGAUAAUAGGUCUACUUUAAUUUUACCUGGCUUUGUUAAUAGAUAGUCUAUACCUGACAGUCAUAUACAUAAGAGAUGUCGAAAGUAUAUAGCAUAUCAUUUAUGUAUAAUUAUAUAUGUUAUAAUUAUAUGCUAAUGAUACCAUCAUUUAACGUUACAAGGUAAUUCUAUAGAAAACUUGAAGUUCUAUUUUUGAUAUAUAUAACACCCUCUUUACAAGAAAAUAAUUGUCAGGCUUAAAAAUGAUAUUCAAGGGUGCUUUUAUCAAGAGAACAAAAUCUGAAGCUUCAUGAACUAAAAUCCUAUCAAGCAAGGUGGUCCAUAACUAGGUUGCUUUGGGUUAAUGAUAACUUAAAAUACUCUUGUUUUUGUAACUUUUUGUGCACAAAGUGCACAUUUUACAGUUGUGCAUGUCAAUGUGUGUUUUACCACUUAUUAUUCUGAAACCUUCAGUCACAUCAUUUCAGCAGGAAAUAAAACCUGAAUAAGUCCUAGGCAAUGUGUAAGGAAUAAGUAUGGUUUAACUUUUGUAGCUUAACAAUAUUGUGCUGAUCUUUAAAUGCAAAUAUUAAUAUAUUGAAAUUAAUAUAAGUAGAUAAUUUCAUCACCUCCUAAUUUAUAAAAAAUGGAAAAGCAAAUAUAACAAGCUGCUUUACUUUCUAUAAUGUCUAUUUAAGGACCUAUUACCAAAAUAUAGUAAUAAUAGGAUUCAUGUAUGUGUAACACAUAUGUAGCUAUCACUCUAUUAUUGGAGAGUUCAGUCUAGUUAUAAACACACUGAACUAUCAUAUGAUGUGUGCCAUUACUUGAAUGUUGCUAAAUUGAUGCUAUGCUAUAUUUUAAGACUCUCCCUCCUCUUUCCAGAUACAUGUACUAGCCCAGGAAGAUCCCUGCAUCUUGAACAGUAAUGCUGAAUCGGAAACUAUGUCGUUACCCAUAAGUAGAAUCCUCCUGACUUUCACUUAAAUAUCAGGACCCAAAUUAUUUUAUGUCUCACUUCAGAACAUAGCACAAUGUGCUAUUUUAUCUUCUUGGCCCAGUCUUUAGAUUUAUUCUAUACUCUCCGUGUUACAAGCUGCACAAACCAUUGGUGACAAUGAGAACCACUCUAUAUAGUUUUACUGACUUUGGAUUCUCAUAUAAUGUAUGAACAAAUAUAAGCCAUAUCUUUUAGGUCUUGACGAUGUGUUUCUUCCAAUUCUGAAGUGUUCGUAUAGUUGUCCCUAAUGUCACGUGAUACGUCUCUUCGUUGUCCUAUACCCGAGCCAUAGCAGAUCUGAUGUGACUUUGGAUAUACCAUGUGAGGGCAAGCAUUUUCUUUUAGGCUAGGCCAUCAAUGAGGAAGAAACAUGAGUAGAGCUCUUAAAGCAGAGGAAAAUGUAAGUGGAUGGAAAAAAAUCACACUUUUGAAUAUAGUAUUGGAGAAAGAAUUGAGUGUGGGUGACUUUAUUAGCUAGCAGAAGAAAGAGUGAAAAUAGGUGCUUGGCUAAGAUGAGAAAAGUAUUCAAUUUUGAAAACAGAAAGAGAAAGCUUAUUUAGAAAAAGAAAACAUGGAGUAAAUGUCAAGAGGAACAUAAAGAAAUAGGGCGUGGUGACCCAGUUCAUUCUGAUAGAAUAGGCGUUUAAGGGCAAAACCCAGAUCCGAAAUAGGUAGUGGAUGGAACUAGGGAACAGUAGAUUCAUAAUUAUUUUAACUUGGCAUUUAAAACUUUAAAAUCUGAGUUGAGGGGUUUUUUUUAAUGGUAGAAAAGCAGCUUAUUUGGCAAUAAUUUUAAAAACUUCUGUCGCAUCUUUAAUCAUACUAGACUGUUCACCUUUGUAAACUCCUCACUAUCAGUAAACUGUCAGUACACUGUCAGUACAGAAAAUACAAACUAAAAGUACUAGAAAUAUCACAAUACGGAUUUCUCUUUUUAAUGUAACUAGGUUUAUCUAACAAUAAGAUUCAGGAUUCAGAAAAGAAAAAAGACCAGAUCUGAGAAGGAAUUUUAAAAAAUGGUUUCAAAGUUUUCCAGAGUUUUGUUAGCCAUUGCCCUUUCUGCAGACGUGGUUAUAUCAGAAAGUGUAAUUCAAGUAUUUGCACUGCUUACUUAAACCACAAUAAAAAGGGAAAGAUGUUGUGAAAACACUGCCUCAUGCUCAAAUUUAUGCAAAACAACUUGAAAGGCUGCCAGCAACACUGUUGUUAUGUUAGCAGUUCUGAUCUGGCUUCACAUUCUCCUAGAGGAGUUCUUCUGAUGUGAGAAGAAUGUAAACCCAAACCACAAGGGAGUAUUCAUUGUACCUAUGCACUUGGGAAGAGUUUGGGUGCCCAAAAUGUCAGAAAAAUCAGAUACAGUUGUUCUCUUAGAAUCUAUUCUGGAGGUCACAAGGUCAGAAUGCCUGCACAUGUGCAUAAACCAACAUGCCCAUAAAAGCCUGAUAGGAGGCAGCAGUGCCCCAUAAAAGGUCACACCCAGCCAGAAUCCAGCAACGUUGGAACAGCGUCUGUUAUGGAGAAGAAAUAUGUGUCUGACAGCAGCAACAGCAGCAGCAGAGAAAGAUGGAUUGGGGAUUAAUCAUGGUAAGAUACUGAGCAAAAGAGACAACAAAUUCUGCCAAGCAUGAAUCCUUCUCUACUCACAGGUUUCACAAAAUACACUCUUCAAAGUACAAGCUGGUUGGCCAAGGUCAGGUUGAUCUUUGCUAGGCUAAAGAAGCAGCUGCGGAGUGUUUCCCACGGCAGAUGGAGAACACCUAAGGAUUUUUUACUGUUAAAAAAAUAAUAAUUUGUGUUUCAACAGUAGAAAUACUCCUGAUAACACACGUGAUCAAAAUUGCAUUCCCCCUCAGUUCUCAUGACAUUCACUUUGGGGUAAUACCAUUUAAAAAAUAUUAUUGGUAGCUGUUAGCCUGUGGCUUUCCAGGACCUUACUUUUAAUGUAUUUCCCUUGUCUUUCUAGAUUUAACAUAUUGCCUCAUUUCAUAAUCUCCCUUCAUUGAGAUCAUUUGUAUAAGCAAAACAUGUUACAUGACAGUCUUUGGAAGACUGAAUAGGCGCCACUAAAUUGUGCAGUUUAGAGGGCUCUAGGCAAGGCCACCCAGACUGAAAUGGUAGCCCCUCUAUAUCUGUCAAAGCAUCUCAAAUAACUCUAAGAAAGAUUUACUACUUUGACAAUCAUAAAGACUCUUUAGUUUUCAGGAGGUUUUGUUUAGUUUUGUUGGUUGGUUAUUUAAUGCCAAAGCUUUCUGUAAUUGAUUUUUCCUGCUUCUUUACCCAUUUGUACCAUUAUGAAGAUUUCUAUAAUAAGCAUGCCAAUAAUAAGAAAAAAGAAGGAAAGAAGGAGUUGAAAAGGAAAUAAAGAUGAUAAACCUAAAAAUAAAUGAUACACAAUGGAAUACUAUUCAGCAAUUGAAAGAACAACUGAUACAUACUUUAACAUGGGUGGGUGAGUCUCAAUAUGCUGAGUAAAAGAAGCCAGAACAAAAAUGGACACUCUAUAAUUCUACUUAUGUAAAACUCUAGGAUAUACAAACUAGUGUUUGACAAACUGAUAGUGAAAGAAAUCAGAUGAGUGGUGACUGUGGGAUGGAGUAGGCGAAGGGUAGAUGGGAAAGGCAGAGAUUAAAAAGGGACUAGAGGAAAUUUUUGGAAGUGAUAGACAUAUUCCUUAAUUUAUAUUCCUUAUUUUUAUUGUGGUAGUUUAAUGGGGGUAUGCUGUGGCAAAGCUUACCAAAUUAUAUAUUUUAAAUAUGGGCAGUUCAUUGUGUAUCAUUUAUACCUCAAUAAAGCUAUUAAAAAUAGAAAAGAAA
rnacentral:lncRNA from 1 species